UACGGGGGGAGCAAGCGUUGUUCGGAUUUACUGGGCGUAAAGGGCGCGUAGGCGGCCUCAGCAAGUCAGUUGUGAAAUCUCCGAGCUUAACUCGGAAAGGUCAACUGAUACUGCGGGGCUAGAGUGCGGAAGGGGCAACUGGAAUUCUUGGUGUAGCGGUGAAAUGCGUAGAUAUCUGGAGGAACACCGGUGGCGAAGGCGGCAUCCUGGACCGAUACUGACGCUGAGGAGCGAAAGCCAGGGGAGCAAACGGG
rnacentral:rRNA from 1 species